UACGGGGGGGCGGGAAGCAGUUGUUUCGGUGAAUUAUUGGGCGUAAAGAGCUCGUAGGCGGUUUGUCGCGUCUGCCGUGAAAAGUCCGGGGCUCAACUCCGGAUCUGCGGUGGGUACGGGCAGACUAGAGUGAUGUAGGGGAGACUGGAAUUCCUGGUGUAGCGGUGAAAUGCGCAGAUAUCAGGAGGAACACCGGUGGCGAAGGCGGGUCUCUGGGCCGUAACUGACGCUGAGGAGCGAAAGCAUGGGGGAGCGAACAGG
rnacentral:rRNA from 1 species